AUGGGUUGGAGCUGGACCAUUCUCUUCCUUGUGUCUGUAACUACAGGUGUCCACUCUCAGGUACAACUGCAGCAGUCUGGUCCUGAGCUUAGAAAACCUGGGUCCUUAGUGAAGCUGUCCUGCAUGGCUUCUGGGUACACCUUCAGUGAUUACACUAUUGAGUGGGUGAAGCCGAAGCCGGGACAGAGCCUGGAGUGGAUUGGAUAUUUUUAUCCUAGAAUUGGUAAUACUCACUACAAUGAGAAGUUCCAGGGCAAGGCCACACUGACUGCAGACGCAUCCUCCAACACAGCCUACAUGGAGCUCAGCAGCCUGACAUCUGAGGACUCUGCAGUCUAUUACUGUGCAAGACACAGUGGUUAUUGGGGUCAACUAAGGACAAUUUCAAUACCUCAUAAUGAUUUUAUACCUGUCAGGCCACUCUGA